UUAGAACUUCAAUCAGAGUCACUUGCGUAGGAAACAUAUUUGUGCAGUGGAUGCAGAAACCUAUUCAAGUUAUCUUAAAGGAAAGAAAAAGAAGAAAACUUGCUAGUUGAUUAAGUUGUCCAUUCACAACUAUCUGCAUAUUCAACCAUUCUGGUUAGGAUGCUUAAGCAUAAUCUCUCGCUGCUUGAGGCCCAAACAUCAUUCCAGUAGCAUCGAGCGGCUGUGCGCCAAGAUCUUUUACGUGAAAACCUUCAAUUGUGGGGUUCAUGUUCAUUCUUGAAUUAACUGCUUCUAGCUUCAUUGACAGGAACUCAACCUGCUGCUGCAAUGACAGGAUGUAGUUGAUUAUCUCAUCAAGAACAAGUGCUUUACCAAUAACCUUAUUACACCCAGGGACCAAAUCCUGGAGUAUCUUCAUCCUCUCACUUAUCUUUGCUCUCCUAGCUCUCUCUGCUAGACUGUGGCUAUCAGUUGCUUGACCCCUUCUUGCUCUCACGUAAAUGUAGUCUUGCUUAGGCAGCUCAGAUGGUUUACUGUUUUGAUCAGCUGGCUUGUCCUUGGCAACAGAACUUGCUUCUAUUUCAACAUUUGAAUUAACAUGCUCAUUUCUGGCUCCUGAUACUUUCAUCCGCUUACCAUUUGAAUUAUUCAAUUCAUUGCCACUGCUUGUAGUCGAAACCAUCUUAGAUGAUUCAUCCUCCGAGCUCAAAUCUCUCCUCUUCCUUCCAUUCCCACCGCCUCCACCAAUACUCUGCUCCGUCACAGUCGAUUCCUCCACCGACCCAUCUCGUUCCCCAGAGCUUCCACCCAAAUUCCCCAUUCGGAGUCCCAACCCACCAACGGCCGCAUCUCCAUUAAUAGCCGGAAACUGCCAAAUCUCCGCCAAAGUGUAAGAAGAUGGAUUGGCUGCAGAUGAGAAGGUGUCAUUUAUCAAUGGAGGAUCCAUACUCUUCUCCUGAGUUCGAGCUCAUUCGAGAAGGCGGGCCUGGGAAUUCGAGACCCGAAUUGACGACUCUGAAUUAUAGAGGCACAAAUUCAGCUUUUUUCUUUUUUUUUUUUCGCUUACUCGGUUUUGAGGAAUUUUGAGUGAGCCAGUGAGUUGAGGCUUAGAUGAUGGGUUAUUGAAGAAAUGAUUUGCAGAGAAGCGUGGCAGCAGCACAGGGUGAUAUUUUUCACUCGAGGAUGGAGAAGGCGGGCGCAU
rnacentral:misc_RNA from 1 species